UAUAUAGUUUUUUUUCAUGAUAUAAACAAGUGCCCCUCGUGCAGAUAUUGGUGGUAGUAACAAAUAUUCAAAUGAGAACUUUGAAGAGUGAAGUGGGGAAAUGUUCCAUCUGAACAUCACUUGGACAUGGGUUAGUCGAUCCUAAGAGAUGGGGAAUCCUUGUAUCAAGGAUGCACUUAGCAUGAAAAUCAAAGGAGAAUUGGGUUAAUAUUCCCGAAUCGGGACAUGGUGGUGGACGACAAUGUUAGGAAAUAUGGAGAUGUCAUCGGGGGCCUGGGAAGAGUUAUAUUUUAUUUUCAAUGACUUUCCCACCCUAAAAUCGGUUCAACUGGAGAUAGGGUCCAACAUAUGGAAGAGCACCACAUGUCUUGCAGUGUUUGGUGCCCCCUCGGUGGCCAUUUAAAAUAUGGAGAACUGACUACCAUCCAUGCCCGAUCAUACUCAUAUAUGCCUCCUUGGAUUUUUCAAUGCCCACUAGGU
rnacentral:ncRNA from 1 species